UUGGGUUGUUGUGUGUUGACAACGAGGGAAGGACAACACUGAGGACUGUUAUGAUGACCAACAAAACAACCCGCAAUAACUCGCUCCCAGCAAGACAAACGAGAUGGAGCAGCCAAGUUGAAACCAUUAACCUGUUGAAACAGGACAGCGAUAGAAAGAUACUGAAUGUUCAGCAGAAAGAGGGUCAAAUCAGACUAGUUACUGGACACAUCUGGACGAACAGAGGCUUGGGUUCAGGAAGAAACGUGAUCGCACAGUGAUUUUGGCGGCCAAUUGAGUACCUGUUCAAGCAUCCGACGAUGGGAUCUGUGGCUACAAUGGGGAUCUAGGAAAACAUCUGGAAAUUAGGCAAGAGGCGCAAGGCGAAGUACGAGAGACGGACAAUGGGAACGCAGCUUAUAUCUCCGAGCCCUGCCAAUCCCAUGAGAGAGCAAUCCCAUGUUAUCAUCCUGUGAUUCAACUUGUUAUUACCCAUCAUGCUGUUGCUUGAGAUGUGCUUUUUUCCUUGUCACUCAGGCGCACCUGCCAACAGUUUGGGCUUUGAGUGACAUCCUUAAGCUAACCUUGUUUGUUACUCACGCUUGGCUGCUCCAUGGCAUGCUAAAUUAUAGGCCUGUAGCAAAAUAGACAUUUAGUUUCACUGCCGUCUGCUCCAUACUCGUACUCCAUAGAAAUACAUAAUGAUACAAGAAAUGAAAAAGACUUGCCAAACUGUGUCCUAAAUAUAAUCUAGUGUCUCAUGUUAUCUAUCCAUCCAUCCAUCUAUGUAAAGAGGUCUUGAUGACUACCAAAUAAAAGCAUUAAUCACCUUUGGAUAAAUUAGAUAUUGACCUACAAAAAAUAUUUGAUGUGAUUUACAAGGUACAAAAAUGUCAUCAUCAAACACUUUCCUAUCGGGCAUACAAAUAUCCUCACGCUCUGGAUUUAGAAUUACAACUAUACCACUGCUAUUGAUGAGCGACCUACAGUGAGUUCAGACCCGGUUGGUAGCGGGAGGUGGUUGGUGGUCAUGCUGCAGCGCGCCCACAGGGAUACUGCAGGCCGGGCGCUGAGCAGCCCAGCCCCCCUUAACACCGGCCCCGCUCUGCACUAUGUCAAACACAGAGUUAAUCACGUCAAGCUGCUGCCCCCGCUUUACCACAGUUAAUGAUAUAUGGGAAUAAAACACACUCUCUGCACGUACAUGUUUGGAUUAAACAGGCAUGAGUGGUGGUCUCAGGGCAAUUCUUUUGGAAUACAUUAAUAUGGAUAUUGCGAAAUGCACAUUCUGGAUAUUGAUUCCAUUAGUAGUGUAAUUUUUAUUUUAUGAGGACUUGGUUGGUGGGAAUCAAUGCUAGGGUGAGAUCAAGUGGUGUAUUACAAAUUAAUUCACAAAGAAUAUGGUUUAAUGCAAACAAAAGCUGGAUUAGUUUGCAUAGAGCAGUAGACAUAUUUCAAAUACUGUCAAUGUAGUUGCUUUGAUCCAAUUCCUCCGUGUGUGUGUGUGUGCCAAUGAGAAUAUUAUCCAAACACAAACUUCCACAGUCAGAUGCUUGGAUAUGUAUAAUCUCUCCGUAAAUAAUGCUGCUAGACCCUUUUUAUUUACCCUUUUUAAAAGCAUUCAAACUAUUAUCGAUAAAUGUCAACCCAUUUGCUCCCGCUACCAUUCAUAGUUGUUUGCAGAGACUGCGUUGGCAAAACCAGAACAUUUACGGCUGGCUGUAUUAAAUGUUUGAUCCUGCUUGCGUUGGAAUUGAUCUGUAAAAGCAUCCAAUUUAAAAAAAUAUCCUUUGAC